rnacentral:rRNA from 1 species
AUGAACGCUGGCGGCGUGCCUAAUACCUGCCAGUCGCGCGAACAGACGAGGAGCUUGCUCCUCUGACGUUAGCGGCGGACGGGUGAGUAACACGUGGAUAACCUACCUAUAAGACUGGGAUAACUUCGGGAAACCGGAGCUAAUACCGGAUAAUAUAUUGAACCGCAUGGUUCAAUAGUGAAAGACGGUUUUGCUGUCACUUAUAGAUGGAUCCGCGCCGCAUUAGCUAGUUGGUAAGGUAACGGCUUACCAAGGCGACGAUGCGUAGCCGACCUGAGAGGGUGAUCGGCCACACUGGAACUGAGACACGGUCCAGACUCCUACGGGAGGCAGCAGUAGGGAAUCUUCCGCAAUGGGCGAAAGCUUGACGGAGCAACGCCGCGUGAGUGAUGAAGGUCUUCGGAUCGUAAAACUCUGUUAUUAGGGAAGAACAAAUGUGUAAGUAACUAUGCACGUCUUGACGGUACCUAAUCAGAAAGCCACGGCUAACUACGUG